AAAUUGAAGAGUUUGAUCAUGGCUCAGAUUGAACGCUGGCGGCAGGCCUAACACAUGCAAGUCGAACGGUAACAGGAAGAAGCUUGCUUCUUUGCUGACGAGUGGCGGACGGGUGAGUAAUGUCUGGGAAACUGCCUGAUGGAGGGGGAUAACUACUGGAAACGGUAGCUAAUACCGCAUAACGUCGCAAGACCAAAGAGGGGGACCUUCGGGCCUCUUGCCAUCGGAUGUGCCCAGAUGGGAUUAGCUAGUAGGUGGGGUAACGGCUCACCUAGGCGACGAUCCCUAGCUGGUCUGAGAGGAUGACCAGCCACACUGGAACUGAGACACGGUCCAGACUCCUACGGGAGGCAGCAGUGGGGAAUAUUGCACAAUGGGCGCAAGCCUGAUGCAGCCAUGCCGCGUGUAUGAAGAAGGCCUUAGGGUUGUAAAGUACUUUCAGCGGGGAGGAAGGGAGUAAAGUUAAUACCUUUGCUCAUUGACGUUACCCGCAGAAGAAGCACCGGCUAACUCCGUGCCAGCAGCCGCGGUAAUACGGAGGGUGCAAGC
rnacentral:rRNA from 1 species